GAUCAACGCUGGCGGCGUGCAUAACACAUGCAAGUCGAACGAUGACGAUGAAACUUUUUCUUCGGAAUGAACUUCAUUGGAGUAGUGGCGGCCGGGUGAGUAACGCGUGAGUAACCUGCCUUGUACAAGGGGAUAGCCGUUGGAAACGACGAAUCAUACCCUAUGACAUCAAAUAAUCGCAUGAUAAUUUGAUCAAAGAUUUAUCGGUAUAAGAUGGACUCGCGUCUGAUUAGCUCGUUGGUAGAGUAAAAGCCUACCAAGGCAACGAUCAGUAGCCGGCUUGGGGGAGUGGACGGCAACAUUGGGACUGAGACACGGCCCAGACUCCUAAGGGAGGGAGCAGGGGGGAAUUAUGAACAAUGGGGGAAACCCGGAUGCAGCGACGCCGCGUGAUUUAGAUGGCCUUCAAGUUGUACUAAGCUCUUGUAUGGGAAGAAGAUGACGGUACCAGACGAAUAAGGACCGGCUAAUUACGUG
rnacentral:rRNA from 1 species